rnacentral:rRNA from 1 species
GAUGAACGCUGGCGGCGUGCCUAAUACAUGCAAGUCGAGCGAACGGACGAGAAGCUUGCUUUUCUGAUGUUAGCGGCGGACGGGUGAGUAACACGUGGAUAACCUACCUAUAAGACUGGGAUAACUUCGGGAAACCGGAUCUAAUACCGGAUAAUAUUUUGAACCGCAUGGUUCAAAAGUGAAAGACGGUCUUGCUGUCACUUAUAGAUGGAUCCGCGCUGCAUUAGCUAGUUGGUAAGGUAACGGCUUACCAAGGCAACGAUGCAUAGCCGACCUGAGAGGGGGGUUGGCCACCCUGGAACUGAGGCCCGGUCCCGACUCCUACGGGGGGCCGCAGUAGGGAAUCUUCCGCAAUGGGCGAAAGCCUGACGGAGCAACGCCGCGUGAGUGAUGAAGGUCUUCGGAUCGUAAAACUCUGUUAUUAGGGAAGAACAUAUGUGUAAGUAACUGUGCACAUCUUGACGGUACCUAAUCAGAAAGCCACGGCUAACUACGUG